rnacentral:rRNA from 1 species
GAUGAACGCUGGCGGCGUGCCUAAUACAUGCAAGUCGAGCGAACGGACGAGAAGCUUGCUUCUCUGAUGUUAGCGGCGGACGGGUGAGUAACACGUGUAUAACCUACCUAUAAGACUGGGAUAACUUCGGGAAACCGGAGCUAAUACCGGAGAAUAUUUUGAACCGCAUGGUUCAAAAGUGAAAGACGGUCUUGCUGUCACUUAUAGAUGGAUCCGCGCUGCAUUAGCUAGUUGGUAAGGUAACGGCUUACCAAGGCAACGAUGCAUAGCCGACCUGAGAGGGUGAUCGGCCACACUGGAACUGAGACACGGUCCAGACUCCUACGGGAGGCAGCAGUCGGGAAUCUUCCGCAAUGGGCGAAAGCCUGACGGAGCAACGCCGCGUGAGUGAUGAAGGUCUUCGGAUCGUAAAACUCUGUUAUUAGGGAAGAACAUAUGUGUAAGUAACUGUGCACAUCUUGACGGUACCUAAUCAGAAAGCCACGGCUAACUACGUG